GUACACUCCUACGGGAGGCAGCAGUGGGGAAUUUUACGCAAUGGGGGAAACCCUGACGUAGCGACACCGCGUGAGCGAAGAAGCCCUUUGGGGUGUAAAGCUCUGUCAGCUGGAACGAAAACAAUGACAGUACCAGCAGAGGAAGCAUCGGCUAACUACGUGCCAGCAGCCGCGGUAAGACGUAGGAUGCGAGCGUUGUCCGGAUUUAUUGGGCGUAAAGAGUUCGUAGGUGGUUUGUUAAGUUUGGUGUUAAAGAUCGGGGCUCAACCCUGGGACUGCACUGAAUACUGGCAGACUCGAGUGUGGUAGAGGCUAGUGGAAUUCCCAGUGUAGCGGUGAAAUGCGUAGAUAUUGGGAAGAACACCGGUGGCGUAGGCGACUAGCUGGGCCAUAACUGACGCUGAGGAACGAAAGCCAGGGGAGCGAAUGGGAUUAGAUACCCGAGUAGUCCCA
rnacentral:rRNA from 1 species